rnacentral:rRNA from 1 species
CAGCCGCCGCGGUAAAACGAAGGGUGCAAGCGUUAAUCGGAAUUACUGGGCGUAAAGCGUGCGUAGGCGGUGAGUUAAGUCUGCUGUGAAAUCCCCGGGCUCAACCUGGGAAUGGCAGUGGAUACUGGCUCGCUAGAGUGUGUCAGAGGAUGGUGGAAUUCCCGGUGUAGCGGUGAAAUGCGUAGAGAUCGGGAGGAACAUCAGUGGCGAAGGCGGCCAUCUGGGACAACACUGACGCUGAGGCACGAAAGCGUGGGAGCAAACAGGAUUAGAUACCCGCGUAGUCCCUGUCUCUUAUACC